AACUCCGUGCCAGCAGCCGCGGUAAUACGGAGGGUGCAAGCGUUAAUCGGAAUUACUGGGCGUAAAGCGCACGCAGGCGGUCUGUUAAGUCAGAUGUGAAAUCCCCGGGCUCAACCUGGGAACUGCAUUUGAAACUGGCAGGCUUGAGUCUCGUAGAGGGGGGUAGAAUUCCAGGUGUAGCGGUGAAAUGCGUAGAGAUCUGGAG
rnacentral:rRNA from 1 species